AGAGUUUGAUCCUGGCUCAGGAUGAACGCUGGCGGUAUGCUUAACACAUGCAAGUCGAACGGGGGUAGAAAUACCCUAGUGGCGGACGGGUGAGUAACGCGUGAGAAUCUACCAACAGGAUGGGGAUAACAGAGGGAAACCGCUGCUAAUACCCAAUGUGCCGAGAGGUGAAAGAUUAAUUACCUGUUGAGGAGCUCGCGUCCGAUUAGCUAGUUGGUGGGGUAAGAGCCUACCAAGGCAUCGAUCGGUAGCUGGUCUGAGAGGACGAUCAGCCACACUGGGACUGAGACACGGCCCAGACUCCUACGGGAGGCAGCAGUGGGGAAUUUUCCGCAAUGGGCGAAAGCCUGACGGAGCAAUACCGCGUGAGGGAGGAAGGCUCUUGGGUUGUAAACCUCUUUUCUCAGGGAAGAACAAAAUGACGGUACCUGAGGAAUAAGCAUCGGCUAACUCCGUGCCAGCAGCCGCGGUAAUACGGAGGAUGCAAGCGUUAUCCGGAAUCAUUGGGCGUAAAGCGUCCGCAGGUGGCUAAUCAAGUCUGCCGUCAAAGACCGGGGCUUAACUUCGGAAAGGCAGUGGAAACUGAACAGCUAGAGUAUGGUAGGGGCAGAGGGAAUUCCUGGUGUAGCGGUGAAAUGCGUAGAGAUCAGGAAGAACAUCGGUGGCGAAGNNNNCUCUGCUGGACCAUAACUGACACUCAGGGACGAAAGCUAGGGGAGCGAAUGGGAUUAGAUACCCUAGUAGUCC
rnacentral:rRNA from 1 species